ACGUCCUCAAGGUAAUUAGCGCUCACCCAGAAACACGGCGUGUUUUUACGAGAUUUCAGGAAGACUGGUGAAAACAGACGUCCUGAACUUUGUUUACAACUUCUACGAAGCAAUUUCUUUUUAUUAUUGUUUUCAGUCAGACACUUUCCACGUGCCCCAGUUCUGGAGUAAACCUGAACUAGCCUCUCCGCGUAACUUCAAGAGGAGGGACGAGGAGUCUCAGAGCAGAUAUGCCGAGAAUGUACUUACAACCAUCUCAGAGUUCUCUGAAUGAAGUAUCACCUAUGUAUUGUCAACUAAAAUAAAAUUAUCCAAUUGUAC